GGAAUGUUCUGUGGCAGUCGCUCCAAAUGUUGUGCAAAACAUUUUAGUGAAUGUAAGUGAAUGUAAGGAGAACAUUCCGAAGAUAUUUAAUUGAAAACAUUUUCUGAAGAAAAAACAACAACAUUUUGUUAUCAAAACAUUCUUUGAAUGGUUUAGGAUGUCAUCAUCCUAAUGUUAGAUAAAACCGUGACUGGGACUUAAUGGGAAUCUUAGCUAUUAUUCCGCGAAUGUUUCCGUUUUGCUGUGAUGUGUGUCACAUUAAGCGAGAAAGAGAGAGAAAGAAAGAGGUGGGGAGAGAGAGAAUGAGGAAGUAAAGUUCCAAAGUUACUUGCUGCUUAGUGCUAACCGAGAUCAGUGACAAGAUAACAGAGAGAGACAGAGACAGACAGAGAGAGAGAGACAGAGACAGCGACAGAGGGAGAGAGGUGGUGGCUGUGGUGUGCCAUAUUGACAUGGUACAUUUGGGUGAGAAGGUGUUGCUGUCUGUUGACCGUCUGUGACAAGGUCAGCUGUCCGACCCUGCAAAAUUCUUUACUUUCAGCAGUUGCCAUGGCGCCAGUGGGAGAGUUCAUGGAGUCAUGGGCAGUGUCAGUGUCGAAAUCAUUCUCUAUAGAGGUCGUUGUUUUCUCUCUGCUCUUCCUCCUCCUCUCCAUCAUCCUCCUGGCCCUCUGCACUAUCUGUGGAAGGAAUACUCACAGUGGCCAUGGAUUACAGGCAACAUCCGCAUCGAGCUAAAGGCUAGAGCUGCCACUUUCAAAGAGCGUGAGACUAAUCCGGACGCUUAUAAGAAAUCCCACUAUGCCCUCAGACGAACCAUCAAACAAGCAAAGCGUCAAUAAAGGAUUAAGAUUGAAUCCUACUACACCAGCUCUGACUCUCUUCGGAUGUGGCAGGGCUUGAAAACUAUUACGGACUACAAAGGGACACCCAGACGCGAGCUGCCCAGUGACGCAAGCCUACCAGAUGAGCUCAUUUCCUUUUAUGCUGGCUUCUGGGCAAGCAACACUGAAGCAUGCACGAGAGCACUAGCUGUUCUGGAUGACUGUGUGAUGCUCUCGGUAGCCAAUGUGAACAAAACCUUUAAACAGAUCAAAAAUCACAAAGCCGCUGCGCCAGAAUGAUUACCAGGACGUGUACUUAAAGCAUGGGCGGACCAAUUGUCAAGUGUCUUCACUGCCAUUUUCAACCUCUUCCUGACCGAGUCUGUAAUACCUACAUGUUUCAAGCAGACCACCAUAGUCCCUGUGCCCAAGGAAGCAAAGGUAACCUGCUUAAAUUAUUACCGCCCCGUGGCACUCACGUCGGUAGCCAUGAAGUGCUUUGAAAGGCUGAUCAUGGCUCACAUCAACAGCAUCCUCCCGGACACCCUAGACCCACUCCAAUUCGCAUACCGCCCCCAACAGAUCCACAGAUGAUGCAAUCUCUAUCGCACUCCACACUGCCCUUUCUCACCUGAACAAAGGGAACACCUAUGUGAGAAUGCUGUUCAUUGACUACAGCUCAGCGUUCAACACCAUAAUGCCAACGAAGCUCAUCACUAAGCUAAGGACUCUGGGACUAAACACCUCCCUCUGCAACUGGACUUCCUGACGGGCCGCCCCCAGGUGGUAAGAGUAGGCAACAACAUGUCUGCCAUCCUUAACACGUGGCCCCUCAGGGGUGUUUACUUAGCCCCACCUGUAUUCCCUGUUCACCCACGACUGCGUGGCCAAACACGACUCCAACCCCAUCAUUAAGUUUGCUGACAACACAACAGUGGUAUGCCUGAUCACCGACAACAAUGAGACAGCCUCUAGGGAGGAGGUCAGAGAACUGGCAGUGUGGUGCCAGGACAACAACCUCUCCCUCAAUGUGAGCAAGACUAAGGAGCUGAUCGUGGACUACGGGAAAAGGCGGGCCAAACAGGCUCCCAUUAACAUUGAAGAGGCUGUAGUGGAGCGGGUCAAGAGUUUCAAGUUCCUUGGUGUCCACAUCACCAACAAACUAUCAUGGUUCAAACACACCAAGACAGUCGUGAAGAGGUCACGACAAAACCUUUUUCCCUCAGGAGACUGAAAAGAUUAGGAAUGGGUCCCCAGAUCCUCAAAAGGUUCUACAGCUGCACCAUCGACAGCAUCCUGACCGGUUGCAUCACCGCCUGGUAUGGCAACUGCUUGGCAUCUGACCCUAAGGAGCUACAGAGGGUAGUGCGAAUGGCCCAGUACAUCACUGGGGCCAAACUUCCUGCCAUCCAGGAGCUAUAUGAUAGGCGGUGUCAGAGGAAAGCCCAUAAAAUUGUCAGAGACUCCAGUCACCAAAGUUAUUGACCGUUUUUUCUGGUACAUGGUUAAGGCAAGCGGUACAGGAGGGCCAAGUCUAGGACCAAAAGGCUUCUCAACAGUUUCUACCCCCAAGCCAUAAGACUGCUGAACAAUUCAUAAAAUCGUCAGUUUACAAUUUACAAUUUACAUUGACCCCCCCUCCCUGUGUAUACUGCUGCUACUCGCUGUUUGUUUGUUACCUAUGCAUUGUUACUCACUUCGCUCCUACCUGCAUGUACAGAUUACCUUAACUAGUCUGUACCCCCGCACACUGACUCGGUACCGGUGCCCCAUGUAUAUAGCCUCGUUAUUGUUACUCUUAUUGUAUUACUUUUUAUUUUAGUCUACUUGGUAAAUAUUUUCUUCUUCUUGAACUGCACUGUUGGUUAAGGGCUUGUAAGUAAGCAAUUCACAUAAAGUCUACACUUGCUGAAUUCGGCGCAUGUGACAAAUAAAGUUUAAUUUGAUUUUGAUUUGAGUGUACUUAUGGAUCAUUAUCAAUGUAUGCUUGAUCAAUGUCAUGAUACUCUACACCUGAGACAUUGUCUUUGAAUGCCGUAUUGUCUUUUGUCUUGUAGAUAAUCAUAAACCAAAAUAUGUCUGUCUAUCUCAAACGCACGCAUGCACACACACGCGCGCGCGCACACACACACACAGACAUUCCAGACAGACAGAACGUUCAGGUUUGGUGGCUUCGGGAAUUCCUGUGGUAUGAGGCAUAUGACUCUCUCUUCUUCUCUCUCUACAUUACGAAACGACACACUUCAAAUACCGUACAUAAUGUACAGACCGACCCCACCGGUGAAUCACUCAGAUACUUCACUCUGCUUCACUCUCAAUCUUUCUUUUCCGAGCAAGAGAGAAUAUACAUACUUUUGUAAGGUUCUGAACAAACAGAGUAAAAACUCAAACAGAUGACUAGAAAAAGCUUAAACCAAGUUUAUUCACCCACUGGGUGCUUCAUCUGCAGACACAAGUCACACAAGCAUAUACAGUACUUACGACUAGGUGUCCCCUCCUUGUAUGUCCAAUAUAAACACACCUUUUCUGUUGUUUGGCAGAAACUCAGUCGGUUCCUCUUACUGGUAUUGUCAUGGCCCUGCCUAAGUCUAGGACCCUCUUGGGCGUGAAAUUGUGUAUGAGAUAGGACUUUGAUCAGAUGGUCUUUGAGGUGGGCCCCUAUGGCCCCCAUCUCAGCAGUGUCUUCUCUCUUCAACUGUUGACCUUAAAGGCUUCCCGAGUGACAUAAGGCGUCACUACAGCCCCGGGUCCAAUCCCAGGCUGUGUCACAGCCUGCUGUGACCGGGAUACCCAUGAGGCGGCGCACAAUUGGCCCAGCGUCGUCCGGGUUAGGGGAGGGUUUAGCCAGCCUGGAUUUCCAAGUCCCAUUAUGCUCUAGCGACUCCUUGUGGCAGCUAGAUGGUGUUUCCUCCUACAUAUUGGUGCGGCUGGCUUCCGGGUUAAGCAAGCAGUGCGGCUUGGCAGGGUAGUGUUUUAGAGGACGCAUGGCUCUUGACCUUCGUCUCUCCCGAGUCCGAGUUCAAGUAAAAUAAAUCAAUGUAGGCUACAGCAGAACACACAUAUGAGAAUAUAUACAGUUGAAGUUGUAAGUUUGCGUACACCUUAGCCAAAUACAUUUAAACUCAGUUUUUCACAAUUCCUGACAUUUAAUCCUAGUAAAUGUUCCCAGUUUUAGGUCAGUUGGGAUCACCACUUUAUUUUAAGAAUGUGACAUCUCAGAAUAAUAGUAGAGAUUUAUUUCAGCUAUUAUUUCUUUCAUCACAUUACCAGUGGGUCAGAAGUUUACAUACACUCAAUUAGUAUUUGGUAGCAUUGCCUUUAAAUUGUUUAACUUGGGUCAAAUGUUUUGGGUAGCCUUCCACAAGCUUCCCACAACAAUAAGAUGGGUGAAUUUUGGCCCAUUCCUCCUGACAGAGCUGAUGUCAGGUUUGUAGGCCUCCUUGCUCGCACA
ensembl:lncRNA